UCUCUCAACAACUACAUUGGGCAUGUGGUCAGCAAGCAUGUUGGAUAUGUGGGUGGCACUUUUCUGCCUGGCACUCUGGUUGACAUAUACUGAUGGUCAGAAGGUCCUGACACAGCCUGGUGUUAUGUCUGUGAGUCCUGGGCAAACAGCUUCCUUGGACUGCAACAUUCAGAAAGAUGAGGGCAACUAUGUAGGCUGGCAGAAGCAGGUGCCAGGCAGUCCCCCUCAGUUUAUUUUACGUUUCUUCCGCUCUCACAGCGCUCCUGACUUAUAUGGCACUGGUUUCUCUUCCAGUCGGUUCACAUCAAAAGCCAGCAGCAAAACUGAUUAUCAGUUAAUAAUCAGUAAUGUGGAGGCUUCAGACAGUGCUGUGUAUUACUGUCAAACCUGGGACAGCUCUGCUAGUGCUGGGGUAUCACAGUGAUAAAUAGCAGAACAAAAACCUCUCGCUGCGCUACAUCUCACCUUACUGCUCAGAUGCUCACAUCACACUAGACAGCUGGCCCUCUACACUGACUUGCACCAUUAGGUAUAUUUAUUAAAAAAACAGUGAUGGCUCUGAGACGAUAACCUCUUCUUCAGAAAUGAAUCCAUCUCCAAUGAUCUUGUCAUCUUCUUCAAGACUUCCCCUCUGAAAAAUAUACCAGAAUACAUCCAACACAAUUGCAUAAUAUAGCAGAUGAAGUUCAUUAUGUGACUAAAGCUUGACAAUCCAGAGGUGGAGCUGCUGCAACUGAAAAAGAAAGUUAAAAAGGCAGAAACGAGGGCUCAAAUUCCUCUAAAAGUGUGAUCUAUUCAGGUCUAUUGCCAAUGACUUGUAGAAAUGUCUAUACAGCUAUCACUUCUUUAUUUCAGGCUUUAA